GAAUAGAGUUUGUAACUGAAAAAAAACUUUGGGUUUCCAACAAGCCAGCUGAAUUUCGGCUUUAAGACACACUUAUCUCUCAGAACUGAGUUUCUGGAGAGACGUUCGUUCAUCUA